GCUAGAGUAGUUUAAUAAAAAUUUUAUUUUGUGGAGAUAAAGAUACAUAAGUCUCUGGCA
rnacentral:tRNA from 1 species